AUUGAACGCUGGCGGCAUGCCUUACACAUGCAAGUCGAACGGCAGCACGGGAGCAAUCCUGGUGGCGAGUGGCGAACGGGUGAGUAAAGUAUCGGAACGUGCCCAGUCGUGGGGGAUAACGUAGCGAAAGUUACGCUAAUACCGCAUACGAUCUAUGGAUGAAAGCGGGGGAUCGCAAGACCUCGCGCGAUUGGAGCGGCCGAUAUCAGAUUAGGUAGUUGGUGGGGUAAAGGCUCACCAAGCCGACGAUCUGUAGCUGGUCUGAGAGGACGACCAGCCACACUGGGACUGGGACACGGCCCAGACUCCGACGGGAGGCAGCAGUGGGGAAUUUUGGACAAUGGGCGAAAGCCUGAUCCAGCCAUGCCGCGUGCAGGAUGAAGGCCUUCGGGUUGUAAACUGCUUUUGUACGGAACGAAAAGGUUUGGCCUAAUAAGCUGAGCUCAUGACGGUACCGUAAGAAUAAGCACCGGCUAACUACGUGCCAGCCGCCGCGGUAA
rnacentral:rRNA from 1 species